UACGUAGGGCGCAAGCGUUGUCCGGAAUUAUUGGGCGUAAAGAGCUCGUAGGCGGUUUGUCGCGUCUGCUGUGAAAACUCGAGGCUCAACCUCGGGCUUGCAGUGGGUACGGGCAGACUAGAGUGCGGUAGGGGUGACUGGAAUUCCUGGUGUAGCGGUGGAAUGCGCAGAUAUCAGGAGGAACACCGGUGGCGAAGGCGGGUCUCUGGGCCGUAACUGACGCUGAGGAGCGAAAGCGUGGGGAGCGAACAGG
rnacentral:rRNA from 1 species